AAUUGAAUUAAGGGGCAACUCUUAACUGGCCAAUUGGACAAAAGCCGAGAGGUACAAUUCCAGGGGGCAGAAAGCUCUGUAAAGCAUCGCUGAACAUACAGAGCGGGAGGCAUGGCGGUAGCGCAUCAACGACGUGCCAA
ncrna:unclassified sequences IMES-2 RNA motif